UACAGAGGUGGCAAGCGUUGUUCGGAAUUACUGGGCGUAAAGGGCGCGUAGGCGGCCAUCUAAGUCAGACGUGAAAUCCCCCGGCUUAACCUGGGAACUGCGUCUGAUACUGGAAGGCUUGAGUAUGGGAGAGGGAUGUAGAAUUCCAGGUGUAGCGGUGAAAUGCGUAGAUAUCUGGAGGAAUACCGGUGGCGAAGGCGGCAUCCUGGACCAUUACUGACGCUGAGGCGCGAAAGCGAGGGGAGCAAACGGG
rnacentral:rRNA from 1 species